AAGUCGUAACAAGGUUUCCGUAGGUGAACCUGCGGAAGGAUCAUUAUUAAUCAUUGGUUUACCAAUAAUAUUUGUGCAAAAUGGUAUAACACUGCCUAAGCAUGUGUGAUUUGGUGAAGGUAUUACCCAAUGACCCCAAAUUAUACUUGUGGAAGCGUGCGUGAGGAAGCUGUGAUGCUGGUUUCUUUUUGGGGAGGGGUCAUUCCCACUGAUCCAGAUUGAUCGCCACUGUUAUGGUUUUCGCAUGGGUUUAGGUGGCAUAUGUUGUUGGGGAGGAGUCAUGUCCAUUGAUCCUGCAUUACUUGUCGUCGAUACCUUUACCCUAUUUAACUUUGUUUUUCAGUCUUGAAAUCUGUCAUCAGGAAGUAACCGCAAGGUGCAACCUGCUCUGACCUUAAGGUGUAAAAACUUUUAGCAACGGAUCUCUAGGCUCUC
rnacentral:misc_RNA from 1 species